CAGCUAUAUCACAUUGAAAGACCGGUUCUCAUCCAAUCACAAAAAUUAAGCAAUGUUGAGCCUGAUCAGAACUUAGAUGAGUGACCACUUAGAAAUACCAGGUGUUGUAA